GUGCUCACUUCGGCAGCACAUAUACUAAAAUUAGAAUGAUACAGAGAAGAUUAGCAUGGCCCCUGCACAAGGAUGACAUGCAAAUUUGUGAAGUGUUCCAUAGUUUU
rnacentral:snRNA from 1 species